GAACCUCAAAGUCUCGGCGGAAACCGAUUACAGCAGAUCAAUCUUUGGUGAUUAGUUCUCCAUGAAGAUGUGACGGCUAGGGUUUUCUGAUUUUCGUGAACAGUGAAUAAUCCCUGACCUAGGUCAGGUUUUCGUUUAAAUACAGCAAGCGAAAUGGGCCAUAAAACAAUUGGGCCGAAAAACAUAAAGUUGUGCUGAAAUUAAAUUCGUCUGGACUAUAGAUGCAAUUAUUUGACACACUUGCGCUCCGAACUAGGUUUUGGCCUCAACAUGAAAGAUGUAGCUCUUGAUCUCAGCUUUCCAACGCAUAUUCCCGCGUCUCAAUCCGAUAUUUGUAACUCCAGUUAUGACCUGCGGAC
rnacentral:lncRNA from 1 species